rnacentral:rRNA from 1 species
CAAUACAGAGCGGCGCACGGGAGAGUAAUACAUGGGAACCUACCUUUUGGUUCGGAAUAACGUCGGGAAACUGACGCUAAUACCGGAUACGUCCUUCGGGAGAAAGAUUUAUCGCCGAUAGAUGGGCCCAUGUUGGAUUAGCUAGUUGGUGAGGUAAUGGCUCACCAAGGCUACGAUCCAUAGCUGGUCUGAGAGGAUGAUCAGCCUCACUGGGACUGAGACACGGCCCAGACUCCUACGGGAGGCAGCAGUGGGGAAUAUUGGACAAUGGGGGCAACCCUGAUCCAGCCAUGCCGCGUGAAUGAUGAAGGCCUUCGGGUUGUAAAGUUCUUUUGGCAGGGACGAUGAUGACGGUACCUGCAGAAUAAGCUCCGGCUAACUUCGUGCCAGCAGCCGCGGUAAUACGAAGGGAGCUA